UCUGCUCCCCACUCCUAAAAUUGGCUUCCGUCUUUCAUGUCACCUCAUGGUUACAAUGUGGCUGCUGCAGCUCUAAUUAUCACAACAGAACCUCUAUCAAAGCCAAAGGCUUCUUUCUUCAAAAUGAUGGGCAGUCCAAAGGGUCAGAGAAUCCUUGAGCCUGAGACCCACAGAAGGAACUUGUGCCUUGUCUGAUGCCGCCUCCCAGGAGAGCGCCCCGAAUUACAUCAGUGUCAGGCCCCGAGGAAAAUGGGCGUGCGUUUUAACUCGGAGAAGUUCAACACUCAGACAUCAGGGAAACCCUGGUGACAGAUGGUUUUCAGGAAGGAGGAAGCCGAACCCCGAAGGAAGAUUUGCGAUUCAAGAGACCAUGAAAUAACAAUGAACUUCUCAAAGGGAAGAUAUCUCUUCAGUGUAUUUCAGUUUCAGUUAGGUGUCACAUAGAGAUCCAGAAGACAACCUACUUAAGCCCUGAGCCUCUGAGAAGUUCUGAAGUCUGAAGUUCAAGUCAACUCUGGCUUCCAAUCACUUGCAUGACUAUGUUCCUCAUAGUGCAGUGAAGGAUGAAUGAAUCACCUCCCCUUGUUGGCUCCCCUCCCCCAAAGAAAGCUUUUA